CUUUAAAACUGUUGCAUAGUAAUUUACUAUAUUUGACUACACUAAAGUCUUGAAAAUUUGCAUAUCUAAUUGGAAUUAAGGAUUUUAGGGUGUGGCUAGGCAGUCAGUUGGGCAGUUGGAGUGGAGCCACACAGUUUUUUGACCUCACUUUCUUUCUUUUUAAAUUUUCUUGUUUCUCUUUAUUUUUCGUGGAAAGGUAACCUUUGUGCCGUUUUUUGUUUAUUUCUGAAGUAAAUCAUUCAACUAUA